CCCCAAAAGGGGACGGAGGGGAUUAAGUCGUUUGUGGCACAAACGACUUAAUCCCCUCCGUCCCCUUUUUGUA
rnacentral:antisense_RNA from 1 species